GAUUAGCUGUGAUUUGUGUAUGUAUAACUUUAAUUUUGCCUAACGAGGACUUUACAAAGAUAUAACUUCUUCCUUGGUUAUAUUGUAACUGGGAUAAGAACAUUUUCUUUUUGGAUUCUAGAAUGUUCCAUAAUUUUAUACUACGAGUAAUUCAGCAUUCAAUAUCACAGAAAAGGUCUGCAUAUGUUGACAGAAUAAAACGAUGCCUGAUGUGGCUCAUACUCUU
rnacentral:lncRNA from 1 species